rnacentral:rRNA from 1 species
AUGGUCGGGAGGAAGAGCAGCGAGCGGAAGAAGGUAGUGACCCGGUCCACAAAGGCUGGACUCCAGUUUCCCGUCGGCCGCAUAGGGCACUAUCUCAAGAAGGACCGCUACGCGGACCGCGUCGGCUCCGGCGCACCCGUCUACCUCGCCGCCGCCCUCGAAUACCUUGCCGCCGAGUUGGCGGGCAAUGCGGCCAAGGACAACAAGAAGACCUGCAUCAUGCCGCGCCACCUGCUACUCGCCACUUGCAAUGACGGGGAGCUCUCCAAGUUGCUUGACGACAUCACCAUUGCCCACAAUGGCGUGUUGCCCAACAUCCACUCUGUGUUGUUCUCCAAGAAGGCCAACAUGCUCUAG